rnacentral:tRNA from 3 species
GCCGCCUUAGCUCAGCUGGUAGAGCAUCUGUCUUGUAAACAGAAGGUCAUCGGUUCGAACCCGAUAGGCGGCUCCA